CGGUGACAAACCGGAGGAAGGUGGGGAUGACGUCAAAUCAUCAUGCCCCUUAUGAUUUGGGCUACACACGUGCUACAAUGGACAAUACAAAGGGCAGCGAAACCGCGAGGUCAAGCAAAUCCCAUAAAGUUGUUCUCAGUUCGGAUUGUAGUCUGCAACUCGACUACAUGAAGCUGGAAUCGCUAGUAAUCGUAGAUCAGCAUGCUACGGUGAAUACGUUCCCGGGUCUUGUACACACCGCCCGUCACACCACGAGAGUUUGUAACACCCGAAGCCGGUGGAGUAACCUUUUAGGAGCUAGCCGUCGAAGGUGGGACAAAUGAUUGGGGUGAAGUCGUAACAAGGUAGCCGUAUCGGAAGGUGCGGCUGGAUCACCUCCUUU
rnacentral:rRNA from 1 species